rnacentral:misc_RNA from 1 species
GUUCUUAUUUGUUCUACAUCAAUAGCUUUUCAUUUUUCCAACUUUUAUACAUGGAAAUGAAAGACAACAAUAAGGAUUUUUUUUAUCACUGCACCAACUGAAGAACACCGAUUUGAAAUACAAUCAAUGAAAUGUCAUUCUGCACAAAUAACAACUAUUUAUCUGGGCGCUACUUUUAGAUUUUGUAAAGUAGAGAAAGAUAAGAUCAAAAUAAUUAGAAAGAGGUACAA